UCAGAGACAAGAAGUAGCAAAACUGUGACUAGAAAUCAGGCAGCUUUGGUUCCUGGCCUUCAAGCCAGGGAGAAUAUUGCUUUCUCACUUUCCCCCCCACCUCCUGCCUACCUCUCCAGAUGACAGUGUCCACGUUGUGCCUACUGAAGCCCCAGGAAGAGUCACAAAGCAGACAGCUCUGCAAGGGCCUGCCCUCCGUGGACUCAGGGAAGAACACUGUGUACUCUUCCCCUCUCCAUCUCAGCAAUGCAUCAACCCCAGACUUGGAAAAAUCAAUGUUGGCGAGGACAGGAGAAAGAUAUGCUCAGAUACAUUUGUCAUUUGAGGUGCCUUCAGACAUACUCACCCAGCAGCAGCCCUUCAGCCUCUGUUCCCCAUCAGAGCCACGUACUCAAACCAGAGCAACUGCUAUGAGCAGGGCUGAAUGUGGACAUUGGAAUGGUAGAAUGCCAGGGUCAGAGGGAUCUUAGAGGAUCCAUCCAACUCUCCACUGCACAGUUGAGGAGUCUGAGGCCAGGAGCCAUUUAUUGAGCACCUACUAGUUGGCUUUACGUACUCAUUGAGAAUACCAAGAAGAAUAAGCUCAUUUCUUAUGCUGAAGAGGAGACAGACAUGCAAAUCAAGAAAUGGACACAUUACAAAAUGACCCAGGAGACACUGAGGGCCUCUGCUCCAUCCCUUGCCAAUUCUGAGAACAGUGCAGCCACAAGGAGGAUUGUUCUGAGGCUUCCCACAGGGCACAAAACCCCCAAGCACUGUCCUCUGGCCACCUACAGCCUCUCUGACUCUGCAUUGCCUCUGGCCCUGCACUGCCUGCUUGAGCAAAGCAAUCUUUGAAAACCAUUUCCAGCCUGGCUAAUGAUGCAGUGCUUUGAAAAGUGCCACCAGGAUGAAAAACAGCUCACAAAAGGGGACUCCUCGUUAUUUUACCAGCACAGCCGGCAAGAAGCUCCUGCCAAGCAAGAUCAAACUUCUCAGGAAUGUUUUGAAAAGCUGGUGGAAACAAGGGCCUCUGUCACACUUCUGUCACAUCUCACCCCAGCAUGUGGGGAAAGCGCUCUUGGAACGGAUGUUAGUCUGUCUCAGAAACACAAAAAAUUGAUGUCUCCAGCAGCAUUGCCAUUUCCACUGCAGACUUAAAGCUACAUCUUUCUGGAUUCUAAUGCAGAAAGGGAACAGUUAGAGAAACCAUCCAGGCUUUUUCUAAAAUGAGAGCAGGUUAAAGAUGCAGUUUAAAAAGGCGCCUCUCAAGGCUUCCCUCCUGACCUUCCAUACCAAAAGCCUGAGCUUAAUUACCUACAUAAUUUUCCUGGCUCUGUGCUGUGGUGCAGGGACCCUCUCUGUUCACCGGAAGCUGAGCCAUCUGUCAGACACCUCUCUCUGGACUCCCCAGGGUCCCCUCUCACCUACACAUCUCGAUUAGCAGAUGACAGUUCUGCUAUAAUGUUUAUUUUACCUCUAACAGAUUUUCAGCUAAGUAGGUGAAGGGGUGGAGGUUCCCUGCCCAGAGCCAGUUCUGGGCUUCCUUUGGCUCCUCCUUCCAGUCUGCUAGGAAAAGGAACGUGGAGGCCUUUAGGAGAGAGGAGAGAUCACAUUUUCUUUGCCACUGAGUAGUGAAGGUCAGGCCCUCCUUGCCAGCCACAAAGCAGAGAAUUGUUUGUUUAUUUCUCCGAGUAGCACUGUUCUCUCUGUGAGCAGCAGACAAAACCAGAAAAGGGAAUUCAUUCUGUGGAGCAGACCAAAGGCAGGGGAAAACUUGUACUUUGGAAAGAAAAAAACAAAUUCAGUGAAGUGAUCAUCUUAAAUCUUCUAGUUAUUCUUCCUCUCCACCACCUUUCACCCCCAAUCUGAGUUUUCCUGGGAUUUAGGUAAGAUCCCACGAGAAAAAUGAGAUAUGGCAGAUAGAGUUGAGAGCAGCAAUAGGAACUUGGGGUGGAAAGGUGCGCAUUCAUCUACAGAUCACUCAGCCAAAUAAGCCACUUAGAGAGUCCAUGCCCACAUUAAUUCCUUUGAUGACUCAGUGACAAGCAGAAUGCAAUUGCAAUACAGUAAGGCCAGAAACCUGGAAGAAGCAUCCUCUACUCCUCCCUCUCUCUUAUCCUCCACAUCUAAGCCAUGAUCAAUCUUACAGAGUCUGACUCCUAAAUAUCUGUCAAACUCACCCUCUUCUCUCCAUUUUCAUGUCUACUGCUGUAAUUCAGCACUAUCAUUUCCUGCCCAAAUGAUUGACACAGCUUUAUAAUUAGGCUAUUUGCCCCUUCCAAUCUAAUCCCCACAUAGCACCCAGAGAAACCUUUCAUAGGUGCAAGUCUUAUGCUAUUUUCUGGAUAAAACCCUUCAAGAUCUUAUUUCCUCCUCUCUUCUCCAGGCCCUAGUUUUAUUCUGAAAGCCCAAAGUCCUGCAUAAUUUGGUCCCUGCUUAUUUCUUCAGCCUUAACCUUACAGCUUCCUGCUUCAAACAGUAGGCUCUAGCAAACUAAGCUUUUCUUUUGCAAAAUAGACCAAAUGCACUUUCACUUUUGUGCCAUCAUGCGUGCUGUUUUCUCUGCUUGGAACAAUCUUUUUGAUACUCCCAGCCUCCCUUAAUUAGCUAUUUCCUACCGAACUUUAGGUCUCAACUAAAAUGUCACCUCCUCUAGAAAGACUUUACUAGCCCUCAAGGCAGUUGAGCUAGAAGUUUCCUCUGUGCUCCCAUAGCAACUUAUGGAUUCACAUUGCCCAUUUGUAAGAGCCAAGAGAGCAAGAGCCACAGCUAUGAGGGCCGCCUUUGUAUUCCUGGCCCUGGAGAAGAAAACAAAAUAGGCUCAAUAAAAAAUUUU